UACGUAGGGUGCGAGCGUUAAUCGGAAUUACUGGGCGUAAAGCGUGCGCAGGCGGUUCGUCGUGUCCGAUGUGAAAGCCCCGGGCUCAACCUGGGAAUGGCAUUGGAAACUGGCGGACUCGAGUGUGGCAGAGGGGGGUGGAAGUUCCGCGUGUAGCAGUGAAAUGCGUAGAGAUGCGGAGGAACACCGAUGGCGAAGGCAGCCCCCUGGGCUAACACUGACGCUCAGGCACGAAAGCGUGGGGAGCAAAC
rnacentral:rRNA from 1 species